rnacentral:rRNA from 1 species
CCUACGGGAGGCAGCAGUAAGGAAUAUUGGUCAAUGGAGGCAACUCUGAACCAGCCAUGCCGCGUGCAGGAUGACGGCCCUAUGGGUUGUAAACUGCUUUUAUACAAGAGAAAACCCUGGUACGUGUACCAGGUUGAUAGUAUUGUAAGAAUAAGCAUCGGCUAACUUCGUGCCAGCAGCCGCGGUAAGACGAAGGAUGCAAGCGUUAUCCGGAUUCAUUGGGUUUAAAGGGUGCGUAGGCGGACUGAUAAGUCAGUGGUGAAAUCUCUUUGCUUAACAAAGAAACUGCCAUUGAUACUGUCGGUCUAGAGUAUAGAUGACGUUGGCGGAAUAUGACAUGUGGUGGUGAAAUACUUAGAUAUGUCAUAGAACACCGAUUGCGAAGGCAGCUAACGAAACUAUAACUGACGCUGAGGCACGAAAGUGCGGGGAUCAAACAGGAUUAGAUACCCUGGUAGUCCGCACCGUAAACGAUGAUUACUCGUUGUUGGCGAUAUGACAGUCAGCGACCAAGCGAAAGCGAUGAGUAAUCCACCCUGGGGAGUACGCCGGNAACGGUGAAACUCAAAUGAAUUGACGG